UUUUUUUUGUAUUUUUUUAAAAAUUAAUU
rnacentral:sRNA from 1 species